rnacentral:tRNA from 1 species
UUAAUUGAAACCAAAGUAGAGGUAUGUCACUGUUAAUGACAACAAUGAAUAAAAAUUCCAAUUAAA